UUAAUUAUUCAAGUUUUAAAAAGUACAAAUUGAUUUGAAUUGGAGAAAUCAGAGGAAAAAAAUAAAAAGGAAGUGCUGGAAUGUAAUCGAGCUUGUGUAUUCCUAAUAGAACAAGUAAUUGUGGAUGGAAAGGGAAGCUUCUUCAUCAAUCAUCAUAUACAACAAAGCUUUUCACUCAAAAUCCAUUCACAAUAGACAAUAAUAACUGAACCAAAAGGUUUAGUGUGACUACUUAAGGGGAAAAAAAUUAUAAGUAUGUAAGAAGAGAACAAAAAAAAAUUCCCCAACCCAAACUCGUAGUUACUACAACAUCAUCCAAGUCUGUCACAUCCUCAAUCUAAUUUCAGAUACUAUAUAAUGUCUCAUAUCAAAUUUCAGAACCAGCUCACUAAUCAAAAACCAUUACCAAAAGUAAAAUUUUUCAUGGUCAUUGAAGCGAAGUUUUGGGGAUUACUGGGUUAAGCAUAGUUGUCAGAACCCACCCAUCGAAUCGGUCAGGCUGCUGGUUAAUGGGUCUCAGGUUCACUGGUUGAUCAGGUUGACCCGAUCUUAUUUAAAUAAAAAUAUAAAAUAGUCAAAAACUUAAAAUUAAAAUUUAAAAUUUAAAUACAUGUCUUGGUGUAUUUGAUUAAACCAUCUUAAAAGCAAAAAAAAAAAAAUCAUCUAACCAUAGUAUCACAUUAGUACAUCACCUAAUUGAUUGACAGAGCCUAUCAUCUAACCAUAGCAUCAGCAGAUUCAAAUCAUCUAAACAGCAAGCAUCAAUCAGAGAAAAACCAGCAAUCACAAAAAAAACAGCAACAGUAAGCAUCAAUCAACCUAUACAGCAAGCAUCAACCAACGCUAAACAGCAACAAUAACAAAAAACAGCAACAAUCAGAAAAAAAACGAGCAACAAUUAGAGGGAAAAAAACAGCAA